rnacentral:rRNA from 1 species
CCUACGGGUGGCAGCAGUAGGGAAUCUUGCGCAAUGGGCGAAAGCCUGACGCAGCAACGCCGCGUGGGGGAUGAAGGCUCUCGGGUUGUAAACCCCUUUCAGUAGGGACGAAAUUGACGGUACCUACAGAAGAAGCCCCGGCCAACUACGUGCCAGCAGCCGCGGUAAUACGUAGGGGGCAAGCGUUGUCCGGAUUUAUUGGGCGUAAAGAGCUCGUAGGCGGCUUGGCAAGUCGGAAGUCAAAACAGCAGGCUCAACCUGCUGCCGCUUCCGAUACUGCUAUGGCUUGAGUCUGGUAGGGGAUGACGGAAUUCCUGGUGUAGCGGUGAAAUGCGCAGAUAUCAGGAGGAACACCAGUGGCGAAGGCGGUCAUCUGGGCCAGUACUGACGCUGAGGAGCGAAAGCGUGGGUAGCGAACAGGAUUAGAUACCCUAGUAGUC